AGAGUUUGAUCAUGGCUCAGAACGAAACGCUGGCGGCGUGCCUAACACAUGCAAGUCGUGCGAGAAAAGGGGGGCAACUCCCUGAGUACAGCGGCGCACGGGUGAGUAACACGUAGGUAACCUACCCUCGAGCCUGGGAUAACCUACCGAAAGGUGGGCUAAUACCGGAUGUGACCACGGGAGUUUCGGCUCCUGAGGUAAAAGAUGGCCUCUGCUUGCAAGCUAUCACUCGUGGAGGGGCCUGCGCGCCAUUAGCUAGUUGGCGGGGUAAUGGCCCACCAAGGCUCUGAUGGCUAGCUGGUCUGAGAGGAUGACCAGCCACACUGGGACUGAAACACGGCCCAGACUCCUACGGGAGGCAGCAGUGGGGGAUAUUGCGCAAUGGGCGAAAGCCUGACGCAGCGACGCCGCGUGGGUGAUGAAGGCCUUCGGGUCGUAAAGCCCUGUCGAGGGGGACGAACCGGCCGCGACCGAAUACGUCGCGACCCUGACGGUACCCCUAAAGGAAGCACCGGCUAACUCCGUGCCAGCAGCCGCGGUAAUACGGAGGGUGCGAGCGUUGUUCGGAAUCACUGGGCGUAAAGCGCGUGUAGGCGGCCUGCUAAGUCUGAUGUGAAAGCCCGAGGCUCACCCUCGGAAGUGCAUUGGAAACUGGCAGACUGGAGUCCCGGAGAGGAGGGUGGAAUUCCUGGUGUAGCGGUGAAAUGCGUAGAUAUCAGGAGGAACACCGGUGGCGAAGGCGGCCCUCUGGACGGUGACUGACGCUGAGACGCGAAAGCGUGGGGAGCAAACAGGAUUAGAUACCCUCGUAGUCC
rnacentral:rRNA from 1 species